CAGUCGAACGGGGGCUUCGGCCCCAGUGGCGAACGGUCGCGUAACACCUAAGCAACCUGCCCUGAAGUGGGGGACAACAUUCCGAAACGGGGUGCUAAUACCGCAUGUGGUCACGAGUCGGCAUCGACUUGUGUCUAAAGAUUUAUCGCUUCAGGAUGGGCUUGCGGCCUAUCAGGUAGUUGGUGGGGUAAUGGCCUACCAAGCCGACGACGGGUAGCUGGUCUGAGAGGACGAUCAGCCGGAUUGGGACUGAGAUACGGCCCAGACUCCUACGGGGGGCAGCAAUUAGGAAUCUUGCGCAAUGGGGGAAACCCUGACGCAGCGACGUCGCGUGAAGGAUGAAGGCCCUCGGGUCGUAAACUUCUUUUGAGUGGGAAGAAAUUUGACGGUACCACUCGAAUAAGCCCCGGCUAACUACGUGCCAGCAGCCGCGGUAAUACGUAGGGGGCGAGCGUUGUCCGAAGUUACUGGGCGUAAAGCGCGCGUAGGCGGUUAUUUAAGUCUGGGGUGAAAGGUUCAGCGCUCAACGUGAACAGUGCCUUGGAUACUGGAGAUUUGAGUUCUGGGAGGGGGAAGGGGAAUUCCUGGUGUAGCGGUGAAAUGCGUAGAUAUCAGGAGGAACACCGGUGGCGAAGGCGCCUUCCUGGCCUAAGACUGACGCUGAGGUGCGAAAGCGUGGGGAGCAAACGGGAUUAGAUACCCCGGUAGUCCACGCCGUAAACGAUGAGUGCUAGGUGUCGGGGGUAUCGACCCCCCCGGUGCCGUCGCUAACGCAUUAAGCACUCCGCCUGGGGAGUACGGCCGCAAGGUUGAAACUCAAAGGAAUUGACGG
rnacentral:rRNA from 1 species